GGUUAAGCGACUAAGCGUACACGGUGGAUGCCCUGGCAGUCAGAGGCGAUGAAGGGCGUGCUAAUCUGCGAUAAGCGCUGGUAAGGUGAUAUGAACCGUUAUAACCGGCGAUACCCGAAUGGGGAAACCCAGUGUGAUUCGUCACACUAUCAUUAACUGAAUCCAUAGGUUAAUGAGGCGAACCGGGGGAACUGAAACAUCUAAGUACCCCGAGGAAAAGAAAUCAACCGAGAUUCCCCCAGUAGCGGCGAGCGAACGGGGAGGAGCCCAGAGCCUGAAUCAGCAUGUGUGUUAGUGGAAGCGUCUGGAAAGGCGCGCGAUACAGGGUGACAGCCCCGUACACAAAAGCGCAUGUGCUGUGAGCUCGAUGAGUAGGGCGGGACACGUGGUAUCCUGUCUGAAUAUGGGGGGACCAUCCUCCAAGGCUAAAUACUCCUGACUGACCGAUAGUGAACCAGUACCGUGAGGGAAAGGCGAAAAGAACCCCGGCGAGGGGAGUGAAAAAGAACCUGAAACCGUGUACGUACAAGCAGUGGGAGCACCCUUCGGGGUGUGACUGCGUACCUUUUGUAUAAUGGGUCAGCGACUUAUAUUCUGUAGCAAGGUUAACCGAAUAGGGGAGCCGGAGGGAAACCGAGUCUUAACCGGGCGUUAAGUUGCAGGGUAUAGACCCGAAACCCGGUGAUCUAGCCAUGGGCAGGUUGAAGGUUGGGUAACACUAACUGGAGGACCGAACCGACUAAUGUUGAAAAAUUAGCGGAUGACCUGUGGCUGGGGGUGAAAGGCCAAUCAAACCGGGAGAUAGCUGGUUCUCCCCGAAAGCUAUUUAGGUAGCGCCUCGUGAAUUCAUCUCCGGGGGUAGAGCACUGUUUCGGCUAGGGGCCAUCCCGGCUUACCAACCCGAUGCAAACUGCGAAUACCGGAGAAUGUUAUCACGGGAGACACACGGCGGGUGCUAACGUCCGUCGUGAAGAGGGAAACAACCCAGACCGCCAGCUAAGGUCCCAAAGUCAUGGUUAAGUGGGAAACGAUGUGGGAAGGCCCAGACAGCCAGGAUGUUGGCUUAGAAGCAGCCAUCAUUUAAAGAAAGCGUAAUAGCUCACUGGUCGAGUCGGCCUGCGCGGAAGAUGUAACGGGGCUAAACCAUGCACCGAAGCUGCGGCAGCGACGCUGAUGCGUUGUUGGGUAGGGGAGCGUUCUGUAAGCCUGCGAAGGUGGCCUGUGAGGGUUGCUGGAGGUAUCAGAAGUGCGAAUGCUGACAUAAGUAACGAUAAAGCGGGUGAAAAGCCCGCUCGCCGGAAGACCAAGGGUUCCUGUCCAACGUUAAUCGGGGCAGGGUGAGUCGACCCCUAAGGCGAGGCCGAAAGGCGUAGUCGAUGGGAAACGGGUUAAUAUUCCCGUACUUGGUGUUACUGCGAAGGGGGACGGAGAAGGCUAUGUUGGCCGGGCGACGGUUGUCCCGGUUUAAGCGUGUAGGUGUGUGUUCCAGGUAAAUCCGGUUCACUUUAACACUGAGGCGUGACGACGAGGCACUACGGUGCUGAAGCAACAAAUGCCCUGCUUCCAGGAAAAGCCUCUAAGCAUCAGGUAACAUCAAAUCGUACCCCAAACCGACACAGGUGGUCAGGUAGAGAAUACCAAGGCGCUUGAGAGAACUCGGGUGAAGGAACUAGGCAAAAUGGUGCCGUAACUUCGGGAGAAGGCACGCUGACACGUAGGUGAAGUGAUUUACUCAUGGAGCUGAAGUCAGUCGAAGAUACCAGCUGGCUGCAACUGUUUAUUAAAAACACAGCACUGUGCAAACACGAAAGUGGACGUAUACGGUGUGACGCCUGCCCGGUGCCGGAAGGUUAAUUGAUGGGGUCAGCGCAAGCGAAGCUCCUGAUCGAAGCCCCGGUAAACGGCGGCCGUAACUAUAACGGUCCUAAGGUAGCGAAAUUCCUUGUCGGGUAAGUUCCGACCUGCACGAAUGGCGUAAUGAUGGCCAGGCUGUCUCCACCCGAGACUCAGUGAAAUUGAACUCGCUGUGAAGAUGCAGUGUACCCGCGGCAAGACGGAAAGACCCCGUGAACCUUUACUAUAGCUUGACACUGAACAUUGAGCCUUGAUGUGUAGGAUAGGUGGGAGGCUUUGAAGCGUGGACGCCAGUCUGCGUGGAGCCGACCUUGAAAUACCACCCUUUAAUGUUUGAUGUUCUAACGUGGACCCGUUACCCGGGUUGCGGACAGUGUCUGGUGGGUAGUUUGACUGGGGCGGUCUCCUCCUAAAGAGUAACGGAGGAGCACGAAGGUUGGCUAAUCCUGGUCGGACAUCAGGAGGUUAGUGCAAUGGCAUAAGCCAGCUUGACUGCGAGCGUGACGGCGCGAGCAGGUGCGAAAGCAGGUCAUAGUGAUCCGGUGGUUCUGAAUGGAAGGGCCAUCGCUCAACGGAUAAAAGGUACUCCGGGGAUAACAGGCUGAUACCGCCCAAGAGUUCAUAUCGACGGCGGUGUUUGGCACCUCGAUGUCGGCUCAUCACAUCCUGGGGCUGAAGUAGGUCCCAAGGGUAUGGCUGUUCGCCAUUUAAAGUGGUACGCGAGCUGGGUUUAGAACGUCGUGAGACAGUUCGGUCCCUAUCUGCCGUGGGCGCUGGAGAACUGAGGGGGGCUGCUCCUAGUACGAGAGGACCGGAGUGGACGCAUCACUGGUGUUCGGGUUGUCAUGCCAAUGGCACUGCCCGGUAGCUAAAUGCGGAAGAGAUAAGUGCUGAAAGCAUCUAAGCACGAAACUUGCCCCGAGAUGAGUUCUCCCUGAGACUUUAGGUCUCCUGAAGGAACGUUGAAGACGACGACGUUGAUAGGCCGGGUGUGUAAGCGCAGCGAUGCGUUGAGCUAACCGGUACUAAUGAACCGUGAGGCUUAACCUU
rnacentral:rRNA from 1 species